CAGGUUACAACUAGUAUAUUAUAUAGCUACUUUUGAAUUCAACAAACAAAAUGUCACCAUAUUAAUUUCUAAAUGAAUUUUUACAUGUUGAUAUCACUAAGAACCUAUCUUACAAAACAUCUAAAGAUAUCUCAAUUCUUAAAUGUACCCAACAGAGACACCAACUUCUUUGCCAUUUCCCACAAAUAUCAAUAUGGUUGCAUUCAUUUGUGAGAGACACCAACUUCUUUACCAAUUCCCACAAAUAUCAAUAUGGUUGCAUUCAUUUGUGCUUCAAGUGUGAACCUCCUAUGACAUAAACAUAUAGGCUGCUAAAAUCGAAAAGAUGGAGGUGUUAGUCCUGAAAGUCAUGAGAUACGACAAUUAUUUCACUAAUACUUUAGCAUACUCUAAAUCAAAGUCCAAAAUAUAAAUCACUAUUUGAAGUUUCACCUAAAUAUUUCCAAUAACAUACUGCACAAAAUUCAUAAAUUGUUACCUUAAACAUAAGAAAUGAUGCGAGUACUUUUUCCAUGAUACCAAAGAAUUCUCUAAUGAAUAUCAAUUAAUUUCCCCUGCACAAUAUCAAAAGUUUAAAAAUCAAAGUCAAACAUGCAAAUAUUCCAACUAAUUAGUUAUUAAAAAACAUAUUAACAACCUACAUAUCGGCUAAAAAAUUUAUUCAUGGAUGUUUUGCAUUACCAAAAGCUUAUAUUACACAUCUACUUUGAAUUAUUUUGACUGUCAUUUCAGUGUACCAGUUUCUAUCAUAUGAUCCCUUGCUAAUUUUGUUGGCACACUCUUUCCAACUCCGGUUUCCAAUUUACAAACAUAAAUUCCAUUUUACAAAAAAAAGUAAUAAUAAAAUAAUAUAGAAAUGACUUUGUACAAACCUGAUAAGGAUAUAUAUUAACAUUUACACCAUAUGCAAAAUAUAAUAAACUUACUUAGACACCCUUAUUUUACUUAUCUUAAUUCUUCAACAUCACAAUAUCACUUUCAAAGAACUUCUCAUCAUGACAUUAUAAGUAGCAUGAGCAAUGCCACACACAUGGGGCCUAUUUAGAAUCUUUUCUUUGCAAACCUUGAUAAUAUCACUUCUAGAAAGUAAGUCAUCUGUGAAGGGAUUAAUUGCUAAUAAAACAGAACCAGUCAUCGUUUGUUCACAUAACAAUGAAUGCUAUGUUAAAAGAAAAUGAAACUACAAUGCAAUAAUAAAUAAGUAACUAAAAGAAAUGGCAAUGAAACAUUUCCUGAUCAGUUGUAUUCCCAAUAUUCCUUUCUUGCAAACUCUUGAGCAAUCCCUCUCUCAACAAAUUUGAAUAGCUUCAAUAUCAUUAGAAUAAAGGGUGCUAACAAAAAGGAAAAAAGAAUGCAAUCUAAGAAUACAGAGAAACCAAAAAAACUAAGCAAUGAAACUUAGACAAAACCAACAAGCAACAACAGGACUGGGACUCCAAGAAAACCCCAAAAAAUAACAAAGCAAACAACAUGAAAAAAACUAAGUCUUAAACCUUGACAACAUCAUACCCAGACAGCAUGAAAAAUACGAACUAAAAAAAACAGCGCCCAGAAAUCAACAACAACACCAUCAAUACAACAUAAGCAAAUAAGGCUUAGAAAGGUAAAACAAAAAAACAAAAAAAGGAACUGGCCACAUUGAUCAAUAAGCAGGGCAAUCAGGGGCAAAAUAGUCAAAACCCCAAUGCAGCAACACACCAACAGAACAGAGAAAAUUCAACACAAUCCAUACACCAAACCAAGGGGUAAAAACGUCAAUAACCCCAAAAGAAACAUCAUCCAACAAGAUGCAAACAUGGACUGUUAAAAGAACAUUUAAGCCAUACGACCAAAUUAGAACUUCAACAAAGGUAGCAAGACAAUUGACAAGGCCAAGGAGCAAAAGCUCCAAACAGUCACGAAAUUCUAAGACUUCAUAAUUUGAAACCACAGCCAUCCCCGAUAGCACCUAAACGCAUGAAGAAUCAAAGGGGUAAUCAUAGGGGUACAAUUGUCAAAAGCCCCAAAACAAUGGUAGGUGCUGAACAACAAAUCAGAUCCACAAUCAUCGUUGAUUCCUUUAGAGAUGAAGAGAUAGAAAACAGCAAAAAAAAUCAAGAAAAUAAUGAAUCCCAAAUCUGAACAUGCAUAUAACAAAGCAAAAGGGAUCGAUUAUUCACGUCAUCUAAAUUGUUUCCAGGUUUUGAUAUACAUAAUGAAUGAUCUUCAUUUUUCAGUCGGAAUUGUACCUCUGGCUCUAAUGAAAAUAGCGUCGAUAAACUUUCGAUUCACAUUGUUUCAAGUAUUAGGGUCUUCGAUUGGUGAUUGGUAAUCUUCACUAGUAGUGAUCGCAUAGAGUAGGUUUGAAAUCGUAUACUGGGAUAAAUGGCGGGAUAUUAAAAUUUGAUAGGAAGGACACC
rnacentral:lncRNA from 1 species